AGCUUUUUGAAUCCGUGCUGAGAUUUCGUCAGACACCAACCUAUUAGGACUGAUCAGACUUCUGAGAUAAGUGAAGUU
rfam:Schistosoma mansoni, Puerto Rico, WGS project CABG01000000 data, contig: 0105